ACCGGAGCGCUAGCUUCGGUGGAGGCGCUGGUGGGAUACCGCCCUGACUGUAUUGAAAUUCUAACCUACGGGUCUUAUCGACCCGGGAGACAGUGUCAGGUGGGCAGUUUGACUGGGGCGGUCGCCUCCUAAAGUGUAACGGAGGCGCCCAAAGGUUCCCUCAGAAUGGUUGGAAAUCAUUCGUAGAGUGCAAAGGCAUAAGGGAGCUUGACUGCGAGACCUACAAGUCGAGCAGGGACGAAAGUCGGGCUUAGUGAUCCGGUGGUUCCGCAUGGAAGGGCCAUCGCUCAACGGAUAAAAGCUACCCCGGGGAUAACAGGCUUAUCUCCCCCAAGAGUCCACAUCGACGGGGAGGUUUGGCACCUCGAUGUCGGCUCAUCGCAUCCUGGGGCUGUAGUCGGUCCCAAGGGUUGGGCUGUUCGCCCAUUAAAGCGGUACGCGAGCUGGGUUCAGAACGUCGUGAGACAGUUCGGUCCCUAUCCGUCGUGGGCGUAGGAAAUUUGAGAGGAGCUGUCCUUAGUACGAGAGGACCGGGAUGGACGCACCGCUGGUGUACCAGUUGUUCUGCCAAGGGCAUAGCUGGGUAGCUAUGUGCGGAAGGGAUAAGUGCUGAAAGCAUCUAAGCAUGAAGCCCCCCUCAAGAUGAGAUUUCCCAUAGCGUAAGCUAGUAAGAUCCCUGAAAGAUGAUCAGGUUGAUAGGUUCGAGGUGGAAGCAUGGUGACAUGUGGAGCUGACGAAUACUAAUAGAUCGAGGACUUAACCAU
rnacentral:rRNA from 1 species